CACAAAUGCAAAAAGGUACCUGCCGAAGUAACUGCCUUUGCAAAUAUAACUCAUAAGUCUCAUGGUUGUAUAAUUUUCAAUUGUUCAACUAUGGUUGCAAUGACUUUUGUUGAUGAAAUGUAGGUAAAUGAAGCGUUUUGGACAACCCCGAUACUCGAGAGGAUUUCCCUUUUAGAGUGCAAUUCAUCACUGAACCUACUGACUGGAGGUCCUUGAUCGCGAUGAUGUUCCACCCUCCUCAAGAGAAACAUCUCGACCACAUAGCCAUUCAAGACCACCAAAAGAAGUUCACCCAAAGCAUCCGGAGAACGAUUCGUGUUUUCGAAAAUACUCCAGUCGAAACAUUCGACGGCGCCUUUUAAUGUGUUUAUAGCUGAAAAAGAAAUUAUUCUUUGAUAAA